rnacentral:misc_RNA from 1 species
ACAUUCUCAAAGGCACGGUCUGAACCCUCGGGCGACGCCGUUACCCUUUCGGAUGUGAGCCUCUUUGCUGCAAAGCAAUGGCUUGAAAAUGAUUGUGUUUGCAACCGGCCUUCUUGGUUCGGUUCUCUCAAGUGCAACAGAUGUUAGCUCAUUCGUUACCUCUUGAAGAGAAGCGAUUCCAUGGUCUGGAUCUCACACUCAACCAACAUACACUUUCAGUGAUCCUUGGAUCAUUGUCUGAUA